UACAGAGGUCUCAAGCGUUGUUCGGAUUCAUUGGGCGUAAAGGGUGCGUAGGCGGCGCGGUAAGUCGGGUGUGAAAUUUCGAGGCUUAACUUCGAAACUGCAUUCGAUACUGCCGUGCUUGAGGACUGGGGAGGAGACUGGAAUUUACGGUGUAGCGGUGAAAUGCGUAGAUAUCGUAAGGAAGACCAGUGGCGAAGGCGGGUCUCUGGACAGUUCCUGACGCUGAGGCACGAAGGCCAGGGGAGCAAACGGG
rnacentral:rRNA from 1 species